rnacentral:rRNA from 1 species
AACUUUUGACGGUGGAUCUCUUGGCUCACGCAUCGAUGAAGAACGCAGCCAGCUGCGAUAAGUAGUGUGAAUUGCAGAAUUCAGUGAAUCAUCGAAUCUUUGAACGCAAAUGGCGCUCUUGGGUUCUCCCAGGAGCAUGUCUGUCUGAGUGUCAGAUUGUCAUCCAUC